ensembl:lncRNA
GAUAAACUAACUGAAUCAGAGUUUGGAUUAUCUCUCCUGGAAAGGGAACAAGUAUGUUCUAUUUGUGGAAAGAAAUUUGCAUCUAAAUAGUUGGGUAGCUGAGCAAAUAUUGUACCAGAGACUGCUAUCUGUCUACCAAAUUCCAUUCUGUCCUUCCUUUAUGGCAAAUACAGAUUAAGAAAGAAACCUAACCAUGUGUGGGAAGAGGAGGAAUAUUUUAGAGGACUAUUGCAAGAGCCCAGUAAGAUAUGAGGGUGGCUUGGUUGGGAAUGGUGGCCGGGAGGGAGCACAACCAUUUCCUGGACUUACUGUGAAUUUUGUCACUGGACACACUCAUGAAUUAGAUUAAGCUGGACUUGGCCACAGCAGAAAAGGCAGAGGCUAUUAUAAUUACACUACUUUAAGAUCAAAGUCAGAAUUGCAGUUUAGGGAAGAGUGGUUAAUAUUAGAGAAUUAGGUUAAAAGAGUUGGGGAAGAGAGCAGAAAGAAGCCCAGGAAUUAGAAGACAUGUUAACUUCUCAAGUGGGGGAGAGGAUACAAGAUCCUGAGUUAUCCAACACCUAACACAAGGAACCAGAGGCUAUAUUCAAAUUAAUUUUAUAGAUUUGUCUGCAUUUCACUGUAUUGACCAUUGGAAGUCUUUACUGACUUCUGUGAACUCCUUGAACAUAUUAUGCUUAACUCUGUAAUGGUCAGUUAUAGUUCAAUUAGCCUCUAAGAUAUGGAAUUAAUGACCCAUGGAAUGUAGCAGCAGUCUCCAAAGUUGAACACAUCAGGAUAACCUAGAAAGUGUGUUAAAAUACAUGCUUCAUGACCCUCAGUGAUCAAACAAGUGCCUGGUAGGAUGGAACAAUGUACUGUAAUCAAAACAUGAUAACUUUUCCAAUGCUAGUAAAAGUUAUAAAUUCAAGUCUCAUAACUUAAUUAUAACUAUAAUUAUAUUAUUUUAUUAUCCAACCAUGUACUUUUUACUUUUUGAAUUGGCUAAAAUUUACCAAUGUCACUUUUUUUCUUUCCUCAAUUCUUUCUAUUACUCUCUUUACAAUCAAAAUGCAGCAUAAUCUAUCAAGCAGAAAGGAACAUUCUAUGCAGAAAAGAUUUGGAAAACAUGAGACAUGAAAGGGAGGAAAGAUGAGACAUGAAAAGAAAAGAGGAAAACUUAAGAGUCAUGGCCAGCAUUUGCCACUCUUUCCCAUCGUCUUAUGAAGUAUCAGAUUGUUCAUUCACUAAAGAAUGCUCGUGGGUAGGUGUGCCAAAGAACUUGGAGGGAUGCUGUACACAUGGUGUCCUAGGUCUCCUGUGAGGUUUGUUUCCUGGAGGAGUCCAGAAAGAAGCUGUUCUCUGCUGAACCAUGGGUCAAGGAAAAUGUUGACAGAACUAUCAACUCUCAAUUUCCUAAACUUGGCAGGGUUCAAACUUCCAAGACAAAGCUGAUAGUGUCAAGGUAAACAUGAAGGUUUUUAAUAUGGAUACCAAUCUCUAGGAAGGGCAUUAGGAAAUCCCUCAGUUAUCACGGUGAAACCACCAUCACCACUCAGCUAAGGUGCAAGUAGCAAUCAAGUCAUUCCUGAUUAUCUCAACCAGCAAUCAAGACUUUCCCCUGGGAUUGGUCUGACCUCGGAAGACAAUGAGGCAAGUCCCAACAAGGAGGAGCCAUCUGCUCGGACGGCAGGGUAGAGAAUAUGACAUAGACUGGUGCACAAAAGCCAUUUAAGCAGAACACUAGGGAGAGACCUUGAGGUGACUUCCACAGCCCAGUUGCUGUUUCUUUUUUGAGAAAGUGAGCAAUGGCCCGAAGCUAGAAAUGCAAAAUGCAUCCCUCAAUAUAAGUAUUCAUCACACACCUAAAUCUUACAUUUUAUAGUUGUCAGACAUUUUAGCUUUCACAAAGUCUGAGUUUAGAUUUUGAAAGGUUUUUCACAACUUUGAAGUGCAUUUAGUAAAUGUAUAGUCUAAUUUUAUCCAAACUAUUAGCUCCAUACCUACAGAUGGCUUUGAAUGUACCAAAAGAAUUUAUUUUGCUAGAUAUGAGAAGUGGCUGGUUCCUCUGACAUGGCAACCCUGUAGUUGUCACCUCUUGGGGAGUUUCACAGUGAAGUUAGUUGUUAUUAAAAGGAACAUCAGAAUUCAGCUGGAGUCUUGGAAGAAAAUCAAGUUUUGUCUGUUUGUACAAAGAUAAAAGUCAGUGUCAGAUUUCUGAGCUCUUUAGAUUAGAAAGAUGUUUGGACUUGAAAAAUAAAGACCCAAGAGAAGGAGGUGUUCAUAUUAGAGCUGCUAUGCUGUCAUGAGAGGAUCUCUUAGAUCUCUUAUAGCAGGGUCAUUGGGGAGGAAAGAAGAUUAUCAAUGUGACUGUCAUACUGAAGGCAAUUUUUAUCAAGGUCCAAAAGUAAAUUUUCAAUAAAUAAUCUGAUUCUUGCUAAAUGACUCACACGGAGGUGGCUUUGAUUCUCACUCAAGUAAACAAAAAUUCGAGACAGCAUAGGCAAUGCUUGUUGAAUUUACUUGGAUGAAACUGUUUAUUUGAAAUAAAGCACAAAGCUAUUUUCUUUUUGCUGCAUUGUGGGUGCAAUAUCCAUAUCAUGACAUUAAGUAGGAGAGGAAUGGAACUAUGGUAUUGCUGUGGGUCUCUCAGAGUGCGAGAGAGAUACUACAGACAAAAGAAAGUUCUAAACGUUAAAGAAGUAAGUUUUAAUUUUGCUGCUUGAAAUUGUAGUAAUCACUGAUAGGUACUUAAUUUAAAAUUAUUUUUCAGUUGAACAAAAAGGGACUAUGCACAAUAUAUAGCUUAAGAGUAAUAAGUUAGGGGGCCGGGGAUUUAGCUCAGUGGUUCCGGCGCCUGCCUUGCAAGUGCAAGGUCCCGAGUUCAAUCUCCGGUACCCAAAACAAAGAAUAAUAAAUUAGGAAAGUAAGGUAAAAACUUAGAGUUGCCUCUCUCACAGAUAAUAUUUUUAGCUUGAAGACAAUCUGACCAAUGUGAGGUUCUGGGAAGUUAAAAAGAGCUUCCGAAAUGAAAUGUUGCUGAGACAUAUAUUUUAACUUAUAGUUUGCGAGAUUUGUUUUUUCCCCUGAUGAUAAGUGAGGAGAGAGCAACUGGAGAAAAGCAAAGAUAUGUUUCAGUUGAGACUAUGCCAGAACAGUGACUCACAGCGUCCUAAUCAGGCAGGCAUGACAGCUCAUUGAAUAAGGCCCACCCCACCCACCCUGGAAAUUGUUCUUUGCCCAAGCUCAGCACCCUGAAAACGACUUUCUAGACAUGUCACCAUGCUUGCUGUGGAUUGUCAAGGAAACUAUGAAAAUGCUGACCAAGGCAGGGGUUAAGUUAUUAUAUGACCAAGGCUGCCUUUUCAGAUAGGCUCAGCUCUGAGUGUCUGUGUAUUUGCGCACAUGUGCAUGUUUAAUUAAAGAAGCGUUUUUAUGUAUGUCUUUUUGAUUUGCUGUACAUUUUCCUAGCAAUUAAUAUUUAUGCAUAUUUAUAUGACCCACCCAUCUUUUGAUAAAAAUUGCCAUAAUCAUUUCUGUUUAUGUUUUUUUCACAUAUGACUUGUAGGAUUAUAUGGGUUAAAUAAAUUUAUGGCUUAAAGGAACUUUUAAACUCCUCAUCUUGUAGAUGGAAAAUAGAGGCCUUAUCCACCAGGGGUGGCCUUUGGUCAGCCUCAUAUAACAGCCAGGACCAAAAUCCAGUCUCUCUACUUAUGUUAUGAGUUUAAAGAAUUAUUUCAACAGUUAUACAAGAUUGAAUAUGCUUUACAAAUUGUUGUUAAUGAAAACUGCAGAAACACUAAGUAUUUUGGUUUAAAUUCAUGGUUUCACAGCAUGACCAUGCCUUGAAUCAUUUCGGAAAUUAAAAAAAAAAAGAAAAUUUGAAAAAAGAGUUAAAAAAGAACCAAUACAGAUCUAGUGACUCAGAAUCUGAUAAGGGUGUACCAAAGCAUUAGAAUAUUUAGAAAAUUCUCCUGUUUUUAAUGGAUUUCUAAUGUAGUGUGUAUAGAUCAGUGUUGAGAAAGCAGGCAUAUGUCUAUUUUUCAAGAUGAUUGGAUAGAAAGUAGGCUGAACUAUCCAGCUAAAGUAGCUAAACUAGCUACCUACUGAAGAAAUAAAAUCAUAAGAGUUUAGCUUAGGGAAACUCAACUAGUUUUAAUAUCAAGCUAUUUCUUUCAUGCUCUCUCGUCACUAUUUCAUUAUGGCAGUUGUAAGAGAAACUCAGAACCUCCACUAUUAUUAAAAGGCAAACCUAUUGGCUUUUGCUAUGAACAAAAGGACUGCUAGAAUAUUUUAAAACAGGAACUUAGUGUUUUGAUUGAAUCCUAAAUAAAUACCCAAUAGAUAUUAAUGAAAUCUACUCUGUUAUUUCUUUUCUUUCCUUUUCUUUUUUUUUAAGUAAUUGCAGGAUCUCUGUAUUGGUUGGUGUGAAGAAUAACACAAUAGGGGAGAUAACAGCUUCCUGGGCCCUAUUAUUGAUCAAAUGGCAAAUCUGGCCUCAUGAAAAUCAGGCAAAAUCACAGGCCGUACUUUAUGUGCACAGGUUACAUUUCACAUAAGAUUUUAUUAAUCCUAGUAGUCAAAUCUUUUCUAUGAUCUUCCUAAUUUGUGCCCCUGCUCAUGACUUCAAUGGCCUAUCUAAUCAAGAGACCAAGGAAGAUGUUUCUGACUGUGUCAUUUUUGAUAUCCCAAUUAGGUCCGGAUGCAACAGCUUGGACCUUAGGGACAUCAUUUGUCAUAGGGGACCGCUAGUGUGUUCUCUCCUUAAUGCUCUUUCAGUAUCCUGGGGCAGCAUGUUCCUUCCCCUGGAGAUCCAUUCUCCUUUCCUUUUGUCUUCACAUUUGUAAUAUUUCUCUCAUCAG